rnacentral:rRNA from 1 species
UACGUAGGGGGCUAGCGUUGUCCGGAAUCAUUGGGCGUAAAGCGCAUGUAGGCGGCCCGGUAAGUCCGCUGUGAAAGUCGGGGGCUCAACCCUCGGAUGCCGGUGGAUACUGUCGGGCUUGAGUACGGAAGAGGCGAGUGGAAUUCCUGGUGUAGCGGUGAAAUGCGCAGAUAUCAGGGGGAACACCGAUUGCGAAGGCAGCUCGCUGGGACGUUACUGACGCUGAGGCGCGAAGGCCAGGGGAGCAAACGGG